UACGAAGGGAGCUAGCGUUGUUCGGAAUCACUGGGCGUAAGGCGCACGUAGGCGGAUUUGUCAGUCAGGGGUGAAAUCCCGGGGCUCAACCUCGGAAGUGCCUUUGAUACAGCAAGUCUUGAGUUCGAGAGAGGUGGGUGGAAUUCCUAGUGUAGAGGUGAAAUUCGUAGAUAUUAGGAAGAACACCGGUGGCGAAGGCGGCCCACUGGCUCGAUACUGACGCUGAGGUGCGAAAGCGUGGGGAGCAAACAGG
rnacentral:rRNA from 1 species